AUGAUUUGGGACCAGAUUUCGUCUUUUGUGUCUGAUAACACAGGAAAACCAGUAGUUUGCUUAGGUGAUCUCAACAACAUCAUGUAUGAUGUGGAUACUACCUCCUCUAAUAUAAACCACUUUCGUAUGCGUACUCUUAUUGGUUAUGUUAAACAAUGUGGUCUCUUUGAUCUUGGUUUUAGUGGCCCUGCUUAUACAUGGACUAACAAACAUUUCUCGUCAACUCCUGUGUUUGAAAGGCUGGAUAGGUGUCUUGCGAAUGCUGAGUGGUGUAAUGUGUUUCCAACAAAUGUUUCUAAUCUUCCUAUUAUUCUUGGAGAUCAUGCGCCUAUACUUGUUUCAACUGAAUCUCAAUUUCGUAGAUCAAAACUCAAUUUCAAAUUUGAAAAUUUGUGGACCAUAUGGAAGAAGACUUCCAAAAAGUUGCACAAUCUUCUUGCCGUUCUUCUGGGAAUAAGCCAGUCCAUACUAGGACAACAACAGCUAGGUACCCGUAAGAAAUGGUGCAAGAAGAAGAAGCCAAUACAACAACAGCUAGAUGCCCUGAUCAAGAUCAGAUCAAUACUAUCCAGAAGCAACCGAUUAAAGAUCAAGAUCACUCCUUGGAGGCAAAACUUAUUGCUCAAUACGAAGAAAACAUGA
rnacentral:rRNA from 1 species